AAAUUUUUUCUUUUUUUUUAUUUUCUAAUGAUACGACUCGAUUUUGUUUUAAACAUUUUGAUCAUUUAUGCCCAUUAGUGAGAGUUAAAGGUGGUUAUGUAUUAUCCUAUUUGCAUCAAAACAAAGGAGUUUUUAUCUUUAACCUAAUAAGUAAUAAAUGAACACAAAAGAAGUUCCUCUGAAUAUAUUAUAGAUAUCGGUCUGGUUAGUCGAGAUAUGUUGCAAGAGCUAUUUUACAAUAUGUUUUUAUUAGAUGUUUUAUGGUUAAUAUAUUAGAAUUUUAGAGAUUACGUUACUCUGAUUAUUAUUUAAAGAGAAAUUCAUUUGUUUAAGUAUAAAGUCAAUUUAAGCUAAAUGUAUAUAAGUCAAAGAAGCAAGCACAUCAAAUUUUAUUGGACAAAUAACAAAUGUCAUGCUCUCUAAUGGAUAUUUCCCGUUAUUUUAUUCAUUAAUUGUUUAUACACUUAAAAUGGAUAACGGUUGGUACAGGAAAAAGUUUCUUUCUAGAGGUGUAUAUUCUUCUUUCAGCAAUUAUAUAUUUAAAUGAUUGUGGCCAAAAUAAAAGAUUUGAUCAGUUUACUGGCCGCUGUGUUUAACCAAUGCAGCAGGUUUUCGCUUUUUUUUUUGUUUUUUUGUUUUUAUUAUUUUUUAACGAUAAAAAAUUGAAUCUUAGUGGAUCAUGAGGUUUUCGCUUUUUGGUUGUUACUUGAAAUGCUCACUUCGAAGAUCACCGAAGCCUCGCGGACAUUGAAAUCUGUGCCAUCUUCGGCGUCCAUAUUCGUAGCCACCUUCAACUCAAGCUUGUAGAUGCCAUCAAAGAAGCUGGAAAUUAAAUAUCAUGGUACAUAAUUAAUGAAAAGAAUUUAUUUGAAGUAGCCAACACAGCAAAGACAUGGAAGAAGAAAAGUGGUUCAAUGUCCCUUCUACACAAACCAAUUCACAUUCAAGAUCGGCAAUAUUCAUAAAUUCACGAGGCACUUGUCAGAUAUGAAGAAAGUAAAGAAUGAAACUUGUGGAAGGGUACUGAGUACAGAAGAUACAUCUAUAAUAAAAGAAAAAUUGAUUUGUAAAAAAGUACAUGUGGGCAUGAUCCCACUUUAGAAUUAGUUUUGGGCUACGUAGGCAGCGUGUGACGAAAAUAAUCUCAUGUUCAGCCCCUUAUUAGUUUAACUAGAGUCUGAUGUCUCAACUCUCAAGCAAUUUUUUAUAAAUUUAUUAGAACGACUAAAAUUCUUUGAAAAUAUAUAUGUGAUGAGUACUAAAACUCAAGUAUUUUUCAUUGAGUCAAGCUAAACCUGAAUCAAAUUGUAUAAAAUUUAUGUAUAUGUAUAUUACGCCCUCCGUCCUAUUA